AUUGAACGCUGGCGGCAUGCCUUACACAUGCAAGUCGAACGGCAGCGGACCUUCGGGUGCCGGCGAGUGGCGAACGGGUGAGUAAUGCAUCGGAACGUGCCAUUGAGUGGGGGAUAACGUAGCGAAAGUCACGCUAAUACCGCAUAUUCUGUGAGCAGGAAAGCAGGGGACCGCAAGGCCUUGCGCUCUUUGAGCGGCCGAUGUCAGAUUAGCUAGUUGGUGAGGUAAAGGCUUACCAAGGCGACGAUCUGUAGCGGGUCUGAGAGGAUGAUCCGCCACACUGGAACUGAGACACGGUCCAGACUCCUACGGGAGGCAGCAGUGGGGAAUUUUGGACAAUGGGGGCAACCCUGAUCCAGCCAUGCCGCGUGCGGGAAGAAGGCCUCGGUUGUAACGCUUUGUUCAGGAGAAACGACUUGAGCUAAUACCUCGACGGUAAUGACGGUACCGUAGAAGAAUAAGACACCGGCUAACCUACGU
rnacentral:rRNA from 1 species